CCUACGGGAGGCUGCAGUGGGGAAUAUUGGACAAUGGGGGCAACCCUGAUCCAGCCAUGCCGCGUGUGUGAAGAAGGCCCUCGGGUUGUAAAGCACUUUCAGUGAGGAAGAACGCCUGGUGGUUAAUACCCAUCAGGAAAGACAUCACUCACAGAAGAAGCACCGGCUAACUCCGUGCCAGCAGCCGCGGUAAUACGGAGGGUGCGAGCGUUAAUCGGAAUUACUGGGCGUAAAGCGCGCGUAGGUGGCUUGAUAAGCCGGUUGUGAAAGCCCCGGGCUCAACCAGGGAACGGCAUCCGGAACUGUCAAGCUAGAGUGCAGGAGAGGAAGGUAGAAUUCCCGGUGUAGCGGUGAAAUGCGUAGAGAUCGGGAGGAAUACCAGUGGCGAAGGCGGCCUUCUGGACUGACACUGACACUGAGGUGCGAAAGCGUGGGUAGCAAACAGGAUUAGAUACCCUGGUAGUC
rnacentral:rRNA from 1 species